CACUUUCAAAAUAGUUAAAUAUUUAACACUAUGCCAGAGUUCCUAAUUUGACUCUGGAAAAAAAAAAAGUGUUAAAACAACACUAAAAUGGAUACAGAAAAACAACACUGUUCAGAGUUGCAUGUUUUAGGUGGUUAGAAUUAGUUUAAAUCUGUACAGUCUCAAAAGAUCUACAAAAUAAUGCUACAUAAACUACAGCACACAAAAUAAUUUCCAUUAACUUGUUUAUUUUUGAUUCUCACUUGUAGUGCAAUUUGAAGUCGAAUUAAAACAUUACAAAAGAAGUACUCUGAAUGCACGAAGAUGCUCAUCAAACUUAUCUUGCACACCACAAGCUCAGCUCUAUAUUCUACACCAUCAACUUUAACCCAACUGGUUGAGAAAACAUCUUUUGAUAGGAACAUUUCAAGCAUUUGAUUGCUGACCACAUUCUCAUCCCCUAUGGAAAAUGAUUUAAUUGGCCCAAACUCAUUAUGUUUGAGGGUGAAGGUUUCUUAAUGGUAAGCAAUGGCCCAUCUGAUGCUUUUUAGCUAAUGGUUUUAUGUUUUUGAAAUUAAAAAAAUAAUAUAUAAUACAAUGUGCUACUAACACAUAUAUAAUAAGGGGCCAAUUUUCCUUAUAGAAGAGGGGUAAUGAUGUAAUGAUGUUUGGGAAUCACAUUUUUAUGUGGAUACAAGUACUUAAAUAAUUUGUAG